rnacentral:sRNA from 1 species
GGAGGAAGUGUCAUGGCGUCGGGCCGUGGAGCUUCUUCUCGCUGGUUCUUUACUCGGGAACAGCUGGAGAAUACGCCGAGCCGCCGCUGCGGAGUGGAGGCGGAUAAAGAGCUCUCGUGUCGCCAGCAGGCGGCCAACCUCAUCCAGGAGAUGGGACAGCGUCUCAAUGUCUCUCAGCUUACAAUAAACACUGCGAUUGUUUAUAUGCACAGGUUUUACAUGCACCAUUCUUUCACCAAAUUCAACAAAAAUGUAAGUACUAGUUGUCUGUUUUCACUGUCCGCAAAUUUUAGGGUAAAUCGAUACGCAGAAAAAAAGUUGGUCAUUGCGUUGUUGGAUUUGGUGUUCUGAAUUAACGGUAAACGUAUAUCACGUGAUAAAUAUUUUGCUUCAAAUGGGGGGUUUUUGUGUUUUUAAAAUUUAUGAUGAAUUAAACUGCAAGGCACUGUUAAGCUCUGCCAGGCCUUUUAAGCUAAAAAAGAAAAACAUUUAUUUCUUUACAGAGUUAUUACAUAGGUUUUCUUCAUUUAAAUUCUAAACUUAACAUUUGAAUAAUUUCAGUAGUGAUGUACAGUGGAAUUGGGCAAGCCUGGUCGUUCUGUGAUACAUCUUAAUUAUGUUGGACUCAUUGUUUAAAAGACUGUCAAUUGAGAUUAAAUUAAUUAUGGCAUUCUUUUGAAAGAGCUAUUUAGUAGAAAUAAUUCAUUUCUUCAUUUGCUAACC